rnacentral:misc_RNA from 1 species
GGGGAGCACCAGGAAAUCUGAAUUAAGCUGUUGUAACCAUGAGGAGGUAUGCUAACAUAUGCUCCUGCAUCCCAGGAGUUAAGAAGAAAGGAAGCAAGAGUGAGGACUCAGAGAAAUCCUCCCAUCAUAAACCUUGUAGAAAGGACAAGAGUAAAGGAGAUGCUUCUGCUGGGACAGGUGAUCACAGUACAGAAGGCAGCAGCCAUCAGGGAACCACCACUGCUUCCAGCAAUGAUGCCACCGGAGCAGCCGCCCUAGCAGUGAGUGCAGUCCACACAUCUGCCAUGAAAGGUAGUGGCGGUGGUGGCGACGGGUGAGAGGGCGGGUUUGAAAGUGGAUUAUCUUGGCUUUGUUUCUUGUUUGCUUGUUACUAUUGAGCAUAUUCUUUUUUUUCUUUGCUUUUUGUUCCUCGUAUUUAUUAUUUUUUUUUUUUCUCUUUGGAUUGAGGUUGCUCUUUUGAUUGGCCAUAGUGGAGCAUGUGGGGUGAAUAAUACCUGAAUGUAAGCUGAUAAAACGUGGCCACCUAUCUAUGGCUGAUCUAUUUUUUGGGUGUGAUGUGUGUAUUUGUAUUUUUCAUUCUUUUUUUAAGCAGAUUCGUGUUCUCAGUUAGGUAUUCUUCAUAAUCAUUUCGAUCUAGUGAAAUUAAUACUGAAUCUUUAGCAGGAAAGGCAGCUCAUUGUCUGCAGUAGGCCUGAAGUAAUUAAGACUAAACCAGAGGUACUGAUUUGCCCAUGAAUAUAUAGC